ensembl:lncRNA
GUCAUAGGCAACACCAAGGGGCAGUUUGAAUUCUUUUGCUGCCAUAGCAUCAAACAAGAUAGGAUUGCAAAGAGCAUCUCAGGCCACAUCCCAGCACCCACCACGUUAGAGUGGGGAAUUAAGGCCCGAGGGGGACAGAGACUUGCCUAAGGUGACACACGAAUGGCAGAGGCAUAACUAGAACCCUGGUCUCUCGUCGCCCAGGGCUGAAGGACUCUGGAAGAGCCGCUUCAUCUCUGGGAGCCUCGGGGCCCUCAUAUGUGAAGUGAGGGCCUCAGAGGCAAAGUGGAGGGGCUGAUUCCUAAUUUGAAUGCAGAGCAUCACAUGUGCCCAUGGAUAUAAAAGCAAGAUGAGAUCCAUUUGAGUUGGGCUUUGAGACUUGUUUUCCACAGAGAAUGAGCUGUGGGGAAAGGCAUUCUGAACAGCAUAAACAAAGGCAGGAAGGCACGGGAGUGCAGGCCGUGUUUCAGGGCAGCUGGGGCUGGGGAAGAAACAGGAAAUGAAGCUAAACACCCAGGCUACUUGGUCAUGUCAGAAGUACCCACUGUCCCUCCGAGUGUCCAGCCCUCCUUUCCGGGGUAAGGACCCUUCAGAACUCAGCCUCCGCAUGGAUUCAUCCUGGCUCACGCGGCUGAUCAGCCUGCCGGGAAGAGCAGGACUAGACAAGGCUGACCCCUCUGCUGGGAAGAAUGCCACACAGUCCUCUCUCAACAAACCUCUCCCUCCUUCAAGACCCAGCUGCCAUGCCAUCUCUUCCAUGAAGCCUUCCCAGAUCUCCCAAAUUGAAAAGCUGACUUCUUCCUGGAAUGCCUUGUGCUUGUCUUAUGGUGUUGCCUUUUCUUUUUUCUUUAUUUUUCUCUUUUAUACUUUUUCAUGCUCACUGCAACUAAUGACAUAAUGCAAAGAUUAAGGGAAAAAAUAAUCUCCCCCUGUCCAUUUCCUUUUUUUUUUUUAAGAUUUAUUUAUUUAUUUGAGAGAGAGAGAGCGCGUGCACGUGCGAGAGUGUGCGAGCACACUGAGGAGUCGGGGGAGGGGCAAAGGGAGAGCGAGAGAGAAUCUCAAGCAGGCUUCCCGUGAGCACAGAGCCCAAGGUAGGGCUUGAUCCCAGUACUAUGAGAUCACGACCUGAGCUGAAAUCAAGAGGCAGAUGCAUGCACUCUCUCCUCUCUCUCUCAUAAAUAAGUCUUCUUAAAAAAAAAAAAAAAAACACUUUGUACCCAGAUAUAAUUUCCACUGUAUAGAUUCCAUCAGAUAAAAAGGAUUUUGUUUUGUUUCAUUUUGGACCUUUUUAUUAAGUUUUUAAUUUUAAUUCCAGUAUAGUUAUCAUACAGUGUUAUAUUAGUUUCAGGUGUACAAUGUAGUGAUUCAACAAUUCUAUGCAUUGCUCAUUGCUCAUCAUAAGUGUAUUCUUUAAUUCCCAUCACUUGUGUCACCCAUCCCCUCACCCACCUCCCCUCUGGUAGCCAUCAGUUUGUUCUCUAUAGUUAAGAGUCUGUUUCUUGGUUUGUCUCUCUUUUUUUCCUUUACUUGUUUGUUUUGUUUCUUAAAUUCCACAUGUAAGUGAGAUCAUAUGGUAUUUGUCUUUCUCUGACUGGCUUAUUUUGCUUAGCGUUAUACUCUCUACUCCCAUCCGUGUCAUUACAAAUGGCAAGAUUUCAUUCCUUUUUACGGCUGAACAACAUUCCAUUGUAUAUAUACACCACAUCUUCUUUAUCCAUUCAUCCAUUGAUGGACACUUGGCCUGUUUCCAUAGUUUGGCUGUUGUACAUAAUGCUGCAAUAAACAUAGUGGUGCAUGUUUCCCUUUGAAUUAGUGUUUUUGUAUUUUGGGUAUCCAGCAGUGCAGUUACUAGAUCAUAGAGUAGUUCUAUCUUUAACUCUUUUUUUUUUUUUAAGAUUUUAUUUGUAAGGGGCGCCUGGGUGGCACAGCGGUUAAGCGUCUGCCUUCGGCUCAGGGCGUGAUCCCAGCGUUCUGGGAUCGAGCCCCACAUCGGGCUCCUCCACUGGGAGCCUGCUUCUUCCUCUCCCACUCCUCCUGCUUGUGUUCCCUCUCUCGCUGUCUCUCUCUCUCUGUCAAAUAAAUAAAUAAAAUCUUUAAAAAAAAGAUUUUAUUUGUAAGUAAUCUCUACAUCUAAUGUGGGGCUCCAAAUCACAGCCAUGAGAUCAAGAGUCGCAUGCUCUACUGACUGAGAUGGUGGAGCCCCCUAUUUUUAACUUUUUAAGGCACCUCCGUACUCUUUUCCACAGCGGCUGCACCAGUUUGCCUUCCCACUAACAGUGCAUAAGGGUUCCAUUUUCUCCACAUCCUCCUCCAACACUGUUGUCUCUUGUGUUGUUGAUUUUAGCCAUUCCGACAGGUGUGAGGUGAUACCUCAUUGUAGUUUUGAUUUGAAUUUCCC